GUGGGGAAUCUUGCGCAAUGGGCGAAAGCCUGACGCAGCCAUGCCGCGUGAAUGAUGAAGGUCUUAGGAUUGUAAAAUUCUUUCACCGGGGACGAUAAUGACGGUACCCGGAGAAGAAGCUCCGGCUAACUUCGUGCCAGCAGCCGCGGUAAUACGAAGGGGGCUAGCGUUGCUCGGAAUUACUGGGCGUAAAGGGCGCGUAGGCGGACAGCUUAGUCAGAGGUGAAAGCCCAGGGCUCAACCUUGGAAUUGCCUUUGAUACUGGCUGUCUUGAGUUUGGGAGAGGUGAGUGGAACUCCGAGUGUAGAGGUGAAAUUCGUAGAUAUUCGGAAGAACACCAGUGGCGAAGGCGACUCACUGGCCCGUUACUGACGCUGAGGCGCGAAUGCGUGGGGAGCAAACAGGAUUAGAAACCCUUGUAGUCC
rnacentral:rRNA from 1 species